rnacentral:rRNA from 1 species
GAUGAACGCUGGCGGCGUGCCUAAUACAUGCAAGUCGAGCGAACGGACGAGAAGCUUGCUUCUCUGAUGUUAGCGGCGGACGGGUGAGUAACACGUGGAUAACCUACCUAUAAGACUGGGAUAACUUCGGGAAACCGGAGCUAAUACCGGAUGAUAUUUUGAACCGCAUGGUUCAAAAGUGAAAGACGGUCUUGCUGUCACUUAUAGAUGGAUCCGCGCUGCAUUAGCUAGUUGGUAAGGUAACGGCUUACCAAGGCAACGAUGCAUAGCCGACCUGAGAGGGGGAUCGGCCACACUGGAACUGAGACACGGUCCAGACUCCUACGGGAGGCAGCAGUAGGGAAUCUUCCGAAAUGGGCGAAAGCCUGACGGAGCAACGCCGCGUGAGUGACGAAGGUCUUCGGAUCGUAAAACUCUGUUAUUAGGGAAGAACAUAUGUGUAAGUAACUGUGCACAUCUUGACGGUACCUAAUCAGAAAGCCACGGCUAACUACGUG